AUAACAGCACAUAUAUCAAAAAAAACUGUAAUAAUAUGGAAUAGUUUGGCAAAUCCCCUGAAUAAGGAUGAUACAUAAAUUUGUGUAGUGUUCCACAUUUUU